rnacentral:tRNA from 1 species
GUUUCUGUAGUUGAAAUUUACAACGGUGGUUUUUCAGGCCACAAGUCCUGGGGAGGGGCCAGGCGGAAACU